AACCGUGGAGGGUCAUUGGAAACUGGGGAACUUGAGUGCAGAAGAGGAAAGUGGAAUUCCACGUGUAGCGAUGAAAUGCGUAGAGAUGCGGAGGAACACCAGUGGCGAUGGCGACUUUCUGGUCUGUAACUGACACUGAGGCGCGAAAGCGUGGGGAGCGAACAGGAUUAGAUACCCUGGUAGUCCACGCCGUAAACGAUGAGUGCUAAGUGUUAGAGGGUUUCCGCCCUUUAGUGCUGCAGCUAACGCAUUAAGCACUCCGCCUGGGGAGUACGGCCGCAAGGCUGAAACUCAAAGGAAUUGACGGGGGCCCGCACAAGCUGUGGAGCAUGUGGUUUAAUUCGAAGCAACGCGAAGAACCUUACCAGGUCUUGACAUCCUCUGACAACCCUAGAGAUAGGGCCUUCCCUUUCGGGGGACAGAGUGACAGGUGGUGCAUGGUUGUCGUCAGCUCGUGUCGUGAGAUGUUGGGUUAAGUCCCGCAACGAGCGCAACCCUUGAUCUUAGUUGCCAGCAUUCAGUUGGGCACUCUAAGGUGACUGCCGGUGACAAACCGGAGGAAGGUGGGGAUGACGUCAAAUCAUCAUGCCCCUUAUGACCUGGGCUACACACGUGCUACAAUGGAUGGUACAAAGAGCCCGCAAACCCGCGAGGGCAAGCUAAUCUCAUAAAGCCAUUCUCAGUUCGGAUUGCAGGCUGCAACUCGCCUGCAUGAAGCCCGGAAUCGCUAGUAAUCGC
rnacentral:rRNA from 1 species